CCGUGGGAGGGAAGGCACUCUCUGUCAAGCUGCUGUCACCUUACCUGAAGUAAGGAGUCCACGCCUGCAUGUCCGAGGAAAACAGUUUUCUCAAACACAUUAGUUGAAAAACUGAAGACGCUGCCUAAAAUACAAGCUGAGUUAGAGACAGCCCUUGUAAGACUAGGUCUUGAGCCUACUUGCCUUCAGAUUGGAACUUUACCAUCUGCUCUCCUGGUUCUCAGGCCUUCAGGGGAGUCUAGAACUAUGCCACUGACUCUCCUGGUCUCCAGUUUUUCAACUUCAAAUCUUGGGAUUUAGUCUCGAUGAUCAUAGGAAAUCAGAAGUGGAGAGGAUGUAUGCAGAGGGAGCUGUGAGAAGUGGACAGCUGCCCACACUAACCAGUGAGACUAAAGACCCAGCCAAGUUCUUCAGGGAGAUUGCUUUGGUAGCUAUGGGAAUAAUAUGGACAAGCAAGCAAGUCAUCUGGACUCUUGAUGGGCUGAGAUGCCACGCUGGCAAGCAGGUGGUCAACCUCUAGGAGAUUCAACAAGCAUGCCUGUGAGGGUUCAGAGCGCUGUGUCAGGAAUGUGAUGGGAAGUAACAGGCAAAGGCAAAAUAUUACUGGUAUUAAGGAAAUGGCGUUAAAGAAAACGGACACUUCACUGUCUACUUGUGUCAGAGCUUCCCCAUGGUCAUUUAAUCUAACACGCCUGUAAGCUAAGUGUUCCUACUUUUUCAGAAAAAGAAAUGGAAACUAAGUAACAUGAAUUAACAUAGUCCAGGGUCACAAAGCAACAUGGAACAAGAACCUGGAUCUGAAUUCAGAGGCAGAAUGCUGGGUAAGU
rnacentral:lncRNA from 10 species